ACUCAAAGGAAUAGACGGGGACCCGCACAAGCGGUGGAUGAUGUGGAUUAAUUCGAUGCAACGCGAAAAACCUUACCUACCCUUGACAUGGCAAGAACCUCCGAGAGAUUGGAGGGUGCUCGAAAGAGAACUUGUACACAGGUGCUGCAUGGCUGUCGUCAGCUCGUGUCGUGAGAUGUUGGGUUAAGUCCCGCAACGAGCGCAACCCUUGUCAUUAGUUGCUACGAAAGAGCACUCUAAUGAGACUGCCGGUGACAAACCGGAGGAAGGUGGGGAUGACGUCAAGUCCUCAUGGCCCUUAUGGGUAGGGCUUCACACGUCAUACAAUGGUACAUACAGAGGGCCGCCAACCCGCGAGGGGGAGCUAAUCCCAGAAAGUGUAUCGUAGUCCGGAUUGUAGUCUGCAACUCGACUGCAUGAAGUUGGAAUCGCUAGUAAUCGCGGAUCAGCAUGUCGCGGUGAAUACGUUCCCGGGUCUUGUACACACCGCCCGU
rnacentral:rRNA from 1 species